GCCAGAGUAGCUCAGUCGGUAGAGCAGCGGUUUUGUAAACCGCGGGUCGUGGGUUCAAGUCCCACCUUUGGCUCCA
rnacentral:tRNA from 1 species